rnacentral:rRNA from 1 species
CCCCUAGUAACGGCGAGUGAAGAGGGAAAAGCUCAAAUUUUGAAUCUGGUGUCUUUGACUCCCGAGUUGUAAUCUAGAGAAGUGUUUUCCGUGUCGGACCGUGCACAAGUUCCCUGGAACGGGGCGUCAUAGAGGGUGAGAAUCCCGUAUAUGGCAUGGACUGCCGAUGCUCUGUGAUACACUCUCAACGAGUCGAGUUGUUUGGGAAUGCAGCUCAAAAUGGGUGGUAAAUUCCAUCUAAAGCUAAAUAUUGGCGAGAGACCGAUAGCGAACAAGUACCGUGAGGGAAAGAUGAAAAGCACUUUGGAAAGAGAGUGAAACAGUACGUGAAAUUGUUGAAAGGGAAGCGUUUGAAGUCAGUCAUGUCUGGCGGGAUUCAGCUUGGCUUUUGCCUGGUGUAUUUUCCGUCCGACGGGUCAGCAUCAAUUUCGACCGAGGGAAAAAGACGUGCGGAAUGUGGCUGUCUUCGGGCAGUGUUAUAGCCCCGCGUUGUAUGCCUCGGUUGGGAUUGAGGAACGCAGCGCGCCUAUAGGCCAGGGGCUACCCGCCUCCUGACACGCGCUUAGGAUGCUGG